UGUCAUUGAAAGUUCUUGAUGUUCUUGGUGU
rnacentral:piRNA from 1 species